rnacentral:rRNA from 1 species
GACGAACGCUGGCGGCGUGCCUAAUACAUGCAAGUCGAGCGGAGUCAUCCAGCCGAAGUCUUCGGACGGACGCUGGAUGUACUCAGCGGCGGACGGGUGAGUAACACGUAGGCAACCUGCCUGUAAGACCGGGAUAACUAACGGAAACGUUAGCUAAUACCGGAUACUCCCUUCAAGGCGCAUGCGUUGGAGGGGAAAGACGGAGCAAUCUGUCACUUACAGAUGGGCCUGCGGCGCAUUAGCUGGUUGGUGAGGUAACGGCUCACCAAGGCGACGAUGCGUAGCCGACCUGAGAGGGUGAUCGGCCACACUGGGACUGAGACACGGCCCAGACUCCUACGGGAGGCAGCAGUAGGGAAUCUUCGGCAAUGGACGGAAGUCUGACCGAGCAACGCCGCGUGAGUGAUGAAGGUCUUCGGAUCGUAAAGCUCUGUUGCCAGGGAAGAAGGGCAAGGAGAGUGACUGCUCUUUGCUUGACGGUACCUGAGAAGAAAGCCCCGGCUAACUAC